AAGUCGAACGGUAACAGGAAGCAGCUUGCUGCUUUGCUGACGAGUGGCGGACGGGUGAGUAAUGUCUGGGAAACUGCCUGAUGGAGGGGGAUAACUACUGGAAACGGUGGCUAAUACCGCAUAACGUCGCAAGACCAAAGAGGGGGACCUUCGGGCCUCUUGCCAUCAGAUGUGCCCAGAUGGGAUUAGCUGGUUGGUGAGGUAACGGCUCACCAAGGCGACGAUCCCUAGCUGGUCUGAGAGGAUGACCAGCCACACUGGAACUGAGACACGGUCCAGACUCCUACGGGAGGCAGCAGUGGGGAAUAUUGCACAAUGGGCGCAAGCCUGAUGCAGCCAUGCCGCGUGUAUGAAGAAGGCCUUCGGGUUGUAAAGUACUUUCAGCGGGGAGGAAGGUGUUGUGGUUAAUAACCGCAG
rnacentral:rRNA from 1 species